rfam:Musca domestica strain aabys unplaced genomic scaffold Scaffold19142, whole genome shotgun sequence.
GAGUUACGCAUAUGAAGAGAGCUAUCUGUCGACAGUCAAGUUUUUCUUUAUUACUGUCAUGGAAUUGCUCUCUUUAUAUAGUAUUCG